GCGUGGUGGACGGCUCGGUUCCCGCGUCGAUGAAGGACGUAGCGAA
rnacentral:rRNA from 1 species